GCUGGGCAUGGUGGUGCGUGCCUGUAAUCCCAACUACUCAGGAGGCUGAGGCAGGAGAAUCGCUUGAACCCAGGAGGUGGAGGUUGCAGUGAGCCUUGAUGGUGCUACUGCACUCCAGCCUGGGUAUUGAAGUGAGACCCUGUUUCCC
rnacentral:sRNA from 1 species